AUUUGCAUCAGUUCAAUAUAUUAUAUUUCCAACAGCCGGUUAAAUGAAACCAUGCAUGACUUAGGCACCACAAAGACAAACAUAUUAACUUAUUGCAAAAUGGAAAGUGCUUCCAACUCGUAAUGUUCACUUCAAUAUUCCAUGAAUAUAAUAAAACUUCAAAAUGGCUAACAAGAUGGCCGGACAAUUCACUCAUCUACUGGCCUUUGCCCUAGCACAGAAAUGUCUUCAUAUCGUUUCUGCAGAAGAAAAUAUAAUUAUAACGCGCAAAAGUAAAAUAGUGAAGAGACAAAUUAAUUUGAAUCAUGAAUCAUAAAUGGUAUCAAAUCAUAAGAGUUAGAAGCAAACAGAAAGGUACAAUAGUUUCAAAUUGACAGUACUGACUAUAAUAAGGUUAAACUACAAUUGGACAAAACAGCAUAACAUAAUUCUCACAAAACAAACUCAUGUCAUAAGUCAGAAUGAAAACAGGUAAGUAGUUUGUUACUUGCUGGUAUGUGGGGAUAACUUCCCCUAGACUAGUUAUUUUGCAAUUUUCCUUUCGGGCUUAGCCCUCGUCAUUAUAAAAAAAAAUCAGUAUGAAAACAGUACAACGAUAUCGCCAAAUAAAUUGAAUGAUAUGGUGCAUAAAUUGAGUGAUAUAGUGUGGACUGUGGAGCCAUUUCAGAAGAGCAAUAAUAGAGCAAUGCAAUAUUCAAAUAGGUGCUCCUUCAAUAGAGCAAUGAAAUGAAUGGUAUGUGUGACCCCUUUCCUCAGAAGAACAUUAAAGAUAGCACAGUGGAAUAAUCCAAUUGGUUGCUUUUGAUAAUACAAAUUCAGUUCUUCAUGCAACAAAUAAAAAUUAUUUGAAUUUUCAAUUUCUUUGUGGUGAUUUGAUGAAAGAAAAACAAUAAAAAACAAAUUGCUGAAUUGUUAAUUUCAUGUCAGGAGUGGAAAAUCACACCGUUUCAUGCAUAUAUCACACUGACUCACAGUUAUUUACAAAUCAUUAUAGGAUACAACCCACUGACUUACAAGAUCAUUUUGAAUUGCACAAUCCUAUCAAAGACUGCUGUUUUAUAAGUAAAAAACAAAUUGUACAAGUGGCAAUAAACACCUGAGAUUCUGUCAAAAAAAUAAAGACCUCAGAUGAGAGUGAAAAAUAGACAUUCCUUUCAACAGAAGGCCAAUUUUGAUAUGGUUUCUGAAGCCUAAGUGCCUAAGCAACAAUAACAUUUGUAAACUAUAUUUGAUUAUU
rnacentral:lncRNA from 1 species